rnacentral:rRNA from 1 species
UUAAGCGACUAAGCGUACACGGUGGAUGCCCUGGCAGUCAGAGGCGAUGAAGGACGUGCUAAUCUGCGAUAAGCGUCGGUAAGGUGAUAUGAACCGUUAUAACCGGCGAUUUCCGAAUGGGGAAACCCAGUGUGAUUCGUCACACUAUCAUUAACUGAAUCCAUAGGUUAAUGAGGCGAACCGGGGGAACUGAAACAUCUAAGUACCCCGAGGAAAAGAAAUCAACCGAGAUUCCCCCAGUAGCGGCGAGCGAACGGGGAGGAGCCCAGAGCCUGAAUCAGUGUGUGUGUUAGUGGAAGCGUCUGGAAAGGCGCGCGAUACAGGGUGACAGCCCCGUACACAAAAAUGCACAUGCUGUGAGCUCGAUGAGUAGGGCGGGACACGUGGUAUCCUGUCUGAAUAUGGGGGGACCAUCCUCCAAGGCUAAAUACUCCUGACUGACCGAUAGUGAACCAGUACCGUGAGGGAAAGGCGAAAAGAACCCCGGCGAGGGGAGUGAAAAAGAACCUGAAACCGUGUACGUACAAGCAGUGGGAGCACGCUUAGGCGUGUGACUGCGUACCUUUUGUAUAAUGGGUCAGCGACUUAUAUUCUGUAGCAAGGUUAACCGAAUAGGGGAGCCGAAGGGAAACCGAGUCUUAACUGGGCGUUAAGUUGCAGGGUAUAGACCCGAAACCCGGUGAUCUAGCCAUGGGCAGGUUGAAGGUUGGGUAACACUAACUGGAGGACCGAACCGACUAAUGUUGAAAAAUUAGCGGAUGACUUGUGGCUGGGGGUGAAAGGCCAAUCAAACCGGGAGAUAGCUGGUUCUCCCCGAAAGCUAUUUAGGUAGCGCCUCGUGAAUUCAUCUCCGGGGGUAGAGCACUGUUUCGGCAAGGGGGUCAUCCCGACUUACCAACCCGAUGCAAACUGCGAAUACCGGAGAAUGUUAUCACGGGAGACACACGGCGGGUGCUAACGUCCGUCGUGAAGAGGGAAACAACCCAGACCGCCAGCUAAGGUCCCAAAGUCAUGGUUAAGUGGGAAACGAUGUGGGAAGGCCCAGACAGCCAGGAUGUUGGCUUAGAAGCAGCCAUCAUUUAAAGAAAGCGUAAUAGCUCACUGGUCGAGUCGGCCUGCGCGGAAGAUGUAACGGGGCUAAACCAUGCACCGAAGCUGCGGCAGCGACGCUUAUGCGUUGUUGGGUAGGGGAGCGUUCUGUAAGCCUGUGAAGGUGUACUGUGAGGUAUGCUGGAGGUAUCAGAAGUGCGAAUGCUGACAUAAGUAACGAUAAAGCGGGUGAAAAGCCCGCUCGCCGGAAGACCAAGGGUUCCUGUCCAACGUUAAUCGGGGCAGGGUGAGUCGACCCCUAAGGCGAGGCCGAAAGGCGUAGUCGAUGGGAAACAGGUUAAUAUUCCUGUACUUGGUGUUACUGCGAAGGGGGGACGGAGAAGGCUAUGUUGGCCGGGCGACGGUUGUCCCGGUUUAAGCGUGUAGGCUGGUUUUCCAGGCAAAUCCGGAAAAUCAAGGCUGAGGCGUGAUGACGAGGCACUACGGUGCUGAAGCAACAAAUGCCCUGCUUCCAGGAAAAGCCUCUAAGCAUCAGGUAACAUCAAAUCGUACCCCAAACCGACACAGGUGGUCAGGUAGAGAAUACCAAGGCGCUUGAGAGAACUCGGGUGAAGGAACUAGGCAAAAUGGUGCCGUAACUUCGGGAGAAGGCACGCUGAUAUGUAGGUGAAGUCCCUCGCGGAUGGAGCUGAAAUCAGUCGAAGAUACCAGCUGGCUGCAACUGUUUAUUAAAAACACAGCACUGUGCAAACACGAAAGUGGACGUAUACGGUGUGACGCCUGCCCGGUGCCGGAAGGUUAAUUGAUGGGGUCAGCGCAAGCGAAGCUCUUGAUCGAAGCCCCGGUAAACGGCGGCCGUAACUAUAACGGUCCUAAGGUAGCGAAAUUCCUUGUCGGGUAAGUUCCGACCUGCACGAAUGGCGUAAUGAUGGCCAGGCUGUCUCCACCCGAGACUCAGUGAAAUUGAACUCGCUGUGAAGAUGCAGUGUACCCGCGGCAAGACGGAAAGACCCCGUGAACCUUUACUAUAGCUUGACACUGAACAUUGAGCCUUGAUGUGUAGGAUAGGUGGGAGGCUUUGAAGUGUGGACGCCAGUCUGCAUGGAGCCGACCUUGAAAUACCACCCUUUAAUGUUUGAUGUUCUAACGUUGACCCGUAAUCCGGGUUGCGGACAGUGUCUGGUGGGUAGUUUGACUGGGGCGGUCUCCUCCUAAAGAGUAACGGAGGAGCACGAAGGUUGGCUAAUCCUGGUCGGACAUCAGGAGGUUAGUGCAAUGGCAUAAGCCAGCUUGACUGCGAGCGUGACGGCGCGAGCAGGUGCGAAAGCAGGUCAUAGUGAUCCGGUGGUUCUGAAUGGAAGGGCCAUCGCUCAACGGAUAAAAGGUACUCCGGGGAUAACAGGCUGAUACCGCCCAAGAGUUCAUAUCGACGGCGGUGUUUGGCACCUCGAUGUCGGCUCAUCACAUCCUGGGGCUGAAGUAGGUCCCAAGGGUAUGGCUGUUCGCCAUUUAAAGUGGUACGCGAGCUGGGUUUAGAACGUCGUGAGACAGUUCGGUCCCUAUCUGCCGUGGGCGCUGGAGAACUGAGGGGGGCUGCUCCUAGUACGAGAGGACCGGAGUGGACGCAUCACUGGUGUUCGGGUUGUCAUGCCAAUGGCACUGCCCGGUAGCUAAAUGCGGAAGAGAUAAGUGCUGAAAGCAUCUAAGCACGAAACUUGCCCCGAGAUGAGUUCUCCCUGACUCCUUGAGAGUCCUGAAGGAACGUUGAAGACGACGACGUUGAUAGGCCGGGUGUGUAAGCGCAGCGAUGCGUUGAGCUAACCGGUACUAAUGAACCGUGAGGCUUAACCUU